GGGAACUUAGCAUAUCAAUAAGCGGAGGAAAAGAAACCAACAGGGAUUGCCCUAGUAACGGCGAGUGAAGCGGCAACAGCUCAAAUUUGAAAUCUGGCUCUUUCAGAGUCCGAGUUGUAAUUUGCAGAGGGCGCUUUGGCUUUGGCAGCGGUCCAAGUUCCUUGGAACAGGACGUCACAGAGGGUGAGAAUCCCGUACGUGGUCGCUAGCUAUUGCCGUGUAAAGCCCCUUCGACGAGUCGAGUUGUUUGGGAAUGCAGCUCUAAAUGGGAGGUAAAUUUCUUCUAAAGCUAAAUAUUGGCCAGAGACCGAUAGCGCACAAGUAGAGUGAUCGAAAGAUGAAAAGCACUUUGGAAAGAGAGUCAAACAGCACGUGAAAUUGUUGAAAGGGAAGCGCUUGCAGCCAGACUUGCUUGCAGUUGCUCAUCCGGGCUUUUGCCCGGUGCACUCUUCUGUAGGCAGGCCAGCAUCAGUUUGGGCGGUGGGAUAAAGGUCUCUGUCACGUACCUCUCUUCGGGGAGGCCUUAUAGGGGAGACGACAUACCACCAGCCUAGACUGAGGUCCGCGCAUCUGCUAGGAUGCUGGCGUAAUGGCUGUAAGCGGCCCGUCUUGAAACACGGACCAAGGAGUCUAACAUCUAUGCGAGUGUUUGGGUGUCAAGCCCGAGCGCGUAAUGAAAGUGAACGGAGGUGGGAACCCGCAAGGGUGCACCAUCGACCGAUCCUGAAGUUUACGGAAGGAUUUGAGUAAGAGCAUGGCUGUUGGGACCCGAAAGAUGGUGAACUAUGCUUGAAUAGGGUGAAGCCAGAGGAAACUCUGGUGGAGGCUCGCAGCGGUUCUGACGUGCAAAUCGAUCGUCAAAUUUGGGCAUAGGGGCGAAAGACUAAUCGAACUAUCUAGUAGCUGGUUCCUGCCG
rnacentral:rRNA from 1 species